AGCUGCGGGCGGGACACGGGUGAGGAAUCCAGGUCAGGGCGACAGAGGGGCCUGCAAGGGCUAGCCAUGCCCCUCCUCGUGUGUGUGUGUGUGUGUGUGUGUGUGUGUGUGUGUGUGUGCAUGCACCAUCUCCAUCUUGGUCUCCCUUGCACCCACUGUGAUAACAACAGCCAACAGUUACAAUACUGAUGAUGGCCAGCACUGAUAAAGCACUUCCUCCAGUCAAGCACUGUGCUAAGAGCAACAUAAUAAACAGGGUCUCGUGCAGGGCCCAAAACAAGCCUGUAGGAAGCCAGUGGCCAUCCACAGGGACGGCUAAGUAAAUCAUGGCACAUCCAUACACUAGAACAUAAAACAGCGCAGCUCCAUGUGUACUGGUACAUUCUACAUGUGCAACAAAUGUUUACUGAACUAGUGUGUGCUGCCCUGGGAUCUACAGGGACUCAGUACAAACAAAACAGACUGAAACCCCUGUCCUCUAGGGCCAAAUGCGAGAGACUGUCAUGUCACUCUUCUGCUCUGAACAUGGCCCUGCUUCACUAAGGACAAAUGCCAGAAGUCCUCACCGUGAACCACAAGGCACUACUGGAUUUGGCUCAUCUCAAUUCCUUCUCCAUUUUCACUCUACUCCAGUCAUACUCGUGUCCUCACUGUUCCUCAAAUGGUCCUACCUCAGGGCCUUUGCACUUGCUGUUGUCUCUGACUGGCUUACUGUUCACACAAAUUUCUGCUCCAGCUUAUUUCUUUACUUCCUUUAAUUAUUUGCUUACAUGUCCUUCACUCAGGGAGCCUCAAUCCUAGAACACUGCCUGGCAUGCAGUGGGUGCUCAAUAAAUAGUUAAACAAAUUAAUGUCAUCUCUUUUUUUUUUCUUCAAAUUAAUUUCAGAGAGGACGGGAGAGGGAGAGAGAGAGAGAAACAUCAAUGAUGAGAGAGAAUCACUGAUCAGCUGCCUCCUGCACACCCCCUACUGGGGAUCGAGCCCACAACCUUAAAUGGAACCGAACCUGGGACCCUUCAGUCUGCAGGCCGAUGCUCUAUCCACUGACCCAACCCAGCCAGGGCUAAUGUCAUCUCUUUAGAGAGUCCUUCCUGGACCAUCCUACCCAAAAUACCAAUCCAAAAGACAGUUCCAUUCAGUGUAACGACAGCAUUGCAGGUAUGCAAGAAAAUAUGAAAAUGUCUGUGUCAAAAAAAAAGAAAAUGUCUGUGUCUGAAGUGGGACAAAAUCUUAAAACCUGUGGAAGCUGAAUAAGAGUUCAUUAUACUAUCCUGGUUGCUUUUAUAUACAUUUGAAAUUUUCAUAAUAAAAAUCAGGAUAGGAAAAAUACUCUCCAAUAUCUCUUUCUUUCUUUCUCUUUCAUCUGUUUUAUUUUCCUUCUUAGAACUUUUAGCUACCUGCUCUUUUAUUUAUUUGAUAUUGAUUGAUCUGUUCAUUAUCUGCCUUCCCCUGAGGACAGGACUAUUUGUCUGUUUUCUCUCCCAAUGUAUCCCUAGUGCCUACAACAGUGCCUGGCACACUGUAGGUACUCUGCAAAUAUUGGAUGUAUAAAUUAAUUGUUCAAUGGGUUAGGUUUUUAAAAAGCACAUUGGAGCCCUGGCUGGUUUUGCUCAGUGGAUAGAAUGUUGGCCUGCAGACUGAAGGAUCCCAGGUUCAAUUCCAGUCAAGGGCACAUGCCCGGGUUGUGGACUCGAUCUCUAGGAGGGGACAUGCAGGAGGCAGCUGAUCAAUGAUUCUCUCUCAUCAUUAAUGUUUCUAUCUCUCUUUCCCUUCCUCUCCGAAAUCAAUAAAAAAAAUUUUUUUUAAAGCACAUUGGAGAAUAGUGGUGUAUAAGAUGUGCUACCGUUCUGGAUUUAUGGUCUCUGUGCCAUGUUCAGAUCCAAAGGCCAGUCCUCCCAAGUUGGGCCCAGGCUUCUGUUUGUUUGAGAGGACCCGGGCACUAAAUGCGCAGACCCCUGGGACCAUGGCUGAGACGGACAGAGCGCUUGGCUAAAAAGCCUGACUCAUGGGCAGACAGAUCUUCAUAUUCCAUGUUUACAACAUGGAAAAGAAGCACUGUGCAAAGCUACAGUACUGUAUGAGCCAAAUUCUGCUUGGCAUAAAGCAACUGGAAGGAAAUUUAUUGAAAUGUUGAUGGUGAUAUUUUGUAUGUGGUAUAAUGAGUAAUAUCUUUUAUAUUUCUAUUUCUAUGGCAUUUAUCCUUAGUAUGAUGGACAAUAUUCUUUAUCCUUUCCAAAUUCUUAAGAGUGGAUAUGUGUUACUUCUAGAAUCUGGAAAGAAAAUGUAGUCCCUUCACUCCCCUCAAAUAUAAGACUAUAAUUUGGACAAAAUAAAUUAAUAUAUGGCUAUA